rnacentral:lncRNA from 1 species
UGCCAUUUCUCAGAUAUUUUAUCUGUCAAAUUAUAUUAAACAUAUAUGCCAUGUGCUUUGAUAUUUCCAAACUGAGUCAUCAAGAUAUGCGUGUUUAUAUGUUGGACCCAGUGAUCUAACUGUAAAAUAGUUGUCUAGCAAUAGAGAGGUAGUGUAAUUUAAUCUCUGUAAUACCACAGAUUAUUCAGUCUUCAUUUUAAU